ACACGUAAGGGGCAAGCGUUGUUCGGAAUUAUUGGGCGUAAAGGGUACGUAGGCGGUUUGGUAAGCCCGGCGUGAAAUCCUGCAGCUUAACUGUAGAGCUGCGCUGGGAACUGCGAAACUUGAGUCAUGGAAGGGGAGUUAGAAUUCCAGGUGUAGGGGUGAAAUCUGUAGAUAUCUGGAAGAAUACCGGUGGCGAAGGCGAACUCCUGGCAAUGAACUGACGCUGAGGCGCGAAAGCGUGGGUAGC
rnacentral:rRNA from 1 species